rnacentral:rRNA from 1 species
AUACGUAGGGGGCGAGCGUUGUCCGGAAUGAUUGGGCGUAAAGGGCGCGUAGGCGGCGCGGUAAGUCUGGAGUGAAAGUCCUGUUUUUAAGAUGGGAAUUGCUUUGGAUACUGUCGGGCUUGAGUGCAGGAGAGGUAAGUGGAAUUCCCAGUGUAGCGGUGAAAUGCGUAGAGAUUGGGAGGAACACCAGUGGCGAAGGCGACUUACUGGACUGUAACUGACGCUGAGGCGCGAAAGUGUGGGGAGCAAACAGGAUUAGAUACCCUGGUAGUCCACACUGUAAACGAUGAAUGCUAGGUGUAGGGGGUAUCGACCCCUUCUGUGCCGCAGUCAACACAAUAAGCAUUCCGCCUGGGGAGUACGGCCGCAAGGUUGAAACUUAAAGGAAUUGACGGGG